GUGCUCAUUUCAGCUUUGAUAGCACAUACACUAAAACUAGAAUGAUACAGAGAUUAGCAUGCCCCAGUGCAAGGAUGACAUGCAAAUUCACAAUUAUUCUGAUACAUGA
rnacentral:snRNA from 1 species